rnacentral:misc_RNA from 1 species
AACGGUCUAUACCUGCGGUACCUGCGGAGGGAUCAUUACCGAGCCCUGCCCUUGGGCAGAUCUCCUACCCACCGUGAUCACUACCCUCGUUGCCUUGGCGGGCCACCAGCCGGCGGCUCGCCAAAGGACCCCCCAGACCCUAGAUGUCGGUGUUGUCCGAGUACAGUUUAUAAUGAUUAAAACUUUCAACAACGGAUCUCU